UCGACGAUUAAGAGAUUUGAUUCCUGGCAAUCAGAACGAACGCAAUGGCGGCGUGGAUAAGACAUGCAAGUCGAACGGGACUUUUUCUUGUAGCAAUAUGAAGGGAAAGUUCAGUGGCGAUCGGGUGCGUAACACGUGGGCAAUCUGCCUUAAAGUGUGAGAAUAGCUCGGCGAAAGCCGAAUUAAUACCGCAUGUGGCUAAACUGGAGACAUCUUCGGGACGCUAAAGGUGGCGCAAGAACUACCGCUUUUUGAGGAGCCCGCGGCCUAUCAGCUUGUUGGUGAGGUAACGGCUCACCAAGGCGUUGACGGGUAGCUAGGUCUGAGAGGACGAACCAGCCACACUGGGACUGAGACACGGCCCAGACACCUACGGGUGGCAGCAGUAAACGAGAAUUUUUGACAAUGGGGGAAACCCUGAUCGAGCGACGCCGCGUGGAGGAUGAAAGGUCUUCAGGGUUGUAAAACUCCUGUCAUUUGGGAACAAGGCGCGUGUAUUAACUGUACACGCGUUGAUAGUACCAGAAGAGGAAGAAGACGGCUAAGAGGUCUCAAAAGCGUUGAUUCGGAUUCAUUGGGCGAUAAAGGGUGUGUAGGUGGCGCGCUAAGUCGGGUGUGAAAUUUCGGAAAGCUUAACUCACGAAACUGCAUUCGAUACUGGCGUGCUUGAGGACUGAGAGAGGAGACUGGAAUUUACGGUGUAAAGCAGUGAAAUGCGUAGAUAUCGUAAAAGGAAGACCAGUGGCGAAGGCGAGGUCUCUGGACAGUUCCUGACACAUGAGACACGAAGGCCAGGAGGAGCAAACGGGAUUAGAUACCCCGGUAGAUCCUGGCAGUAAACGGUGCACGUCCUUGGUGUGGGAGGGGUCGACCACCUUCUGCGCCGGAAGCUAACGCGUUAAACGUGCCGCCUGGGGAGUACGG
rnacentral:rRNA from 1 species